rnacentral:misc_RNA from 1 species
GAUGAAGAACGUAGCGAAAUGCGAUACUUGGUGUGAAUUGCAGAAUCCCGUGAACCAUCGAGUCUUUGAACGCAAGUUGCGCCCGAAGCCAUUAGGCCGAGGGCACGCCUGCCUGGGCGUCACACUUCGUUGCCCCCCCCAUCUACUCCUUCGGGAUUGCGGGGGGCGGAUGAUGGCCUCCCGUGCGCCUCGCCGCGCGGUUGGCAUAAAUGCCAAGUCCUCGGCGACGCACGCCACGACAAUCGGUGGUUGCGAAACCUCGGUUGCCCGUCGUGUGCGGUCGUCGCGCAUCGAGGGCUCGAAAAAAUUGCCGAGUUCCGGCUCGGCUUUCAACGCGACCCCAGGUCAGGCGGGGUUACCCGCUGAAUUUAAGCAUAUCAAUAAGCGGAGGA